rnacentral:misc_RNA from 1 species
GGCCGAAACAGCAACAGGUUAGCCUUCCUUCAGGACCUGAUCGAUCAGCGCUCUCGCGCCGAUCAGAUCGUCCAGCGCCGCCUGAAGCUUGCCGCGAUCCAUCGGCCGCGCGCCCUUCCGGAUAUUCGGGGGGGCAUAGGCCUCGGCGCCGGAUAGGCCGUUCAGCGGAGCCGGCUGCACCGGCUUCUGCACCACCGCUUUGGGUGCCGAGAUCUCCGUCAGCGGCGGUCCGAGAUCGCGCAGCGACAGCGUGGAGGGAUAUUCCUCUUCGUGGGCAUCAGGUUCGUCGGCGGCGGCGAGUUCGUCCUCGGUGUCGAUCUCCACUUCGUCGGCUGCCAGGUGUGGGGCGUGUUCNNNNNNNNNNNNNCAUCGAACAGCGCGGUAGCAUGAUCGGCUGACCCGUCGGUGAGGCUCUGGACCGAUUUCAC